UAUCAAAGACUUCCAGAUGUUUCCAGAUGUUUUGGAAACAUUGCUGGCUAAACAUUAUUUAUCCUAUUUGUUUUGUUUGAUUACAGAUGUGAUAUUUUAUGUGGGGGGAGGGAACUAAGAGGAAUGCAGAGUAUCCAGCUGUAGCUUUCUUUUUGUGUUUGAGAUUUCUAUUGGCAUCCAUUUUCCUAGGGUGACUCUCUACUCUCUGCUUGCUCACCACUUAACUGACUUGUGCAAGUGCAGUGCCUGCUUGGAAAAGAAAAUGCACCUCAACCCCUGUACCUUCACCCAGCAAAUUGCCAGAACUUGGUAGUCUUUCCUCCUCAGUUAAUUCCUAUUUCCUCUGCGUCUGCCUUGCUUUGUCUCAUUUCUUUCUUAUUUUAUCACUUUUUCUCAUGUUCAUUUUCUAUGAAGUACUGAGGCUGGCAAUCUACAGAGUGUGAGUACAAUGAGUAACUCACAACAGAGAACAUGUGUAAUUUUUUGUGUUGUUUGGCUGCUAAGUAGAUUUUAAAUUUUCUUUCUUUGGUUUCUCAGAUACAGAACAUCUCCAGAUUUAAAGAGUUUUGGUCUAACAAAUGGCAUUUUUAAUCCAUCAUUAUUUUUCAGGCUUUUGACACUGUUGUUGAAAAUGAGCAUCAGCAUUUUCCAGAGCGAGAACCAGAGCUGCUUUGAAGUUACUCACGUGUCCCUUAACACAGAAGACCUGGAGGACUUUCAUGUACAUGUUGGAAGUCAAGUGGGGCAUAAAUAGUAUUAAAAUUUCAAUUUAUUUUUUCGGGCCUUUUGAUGAUACAUCACCAGGUCAUGCUGUUGCUUGGUAUUUUGUUCAUUGAAGACCAGUUCAGUGUUUAAUCUCCAGGACAUACCUACUUAACACUGGUUUCAUCCUGUAGCUGCUUGGAGAGAGACUCCUUCCCAUAAGCCAGAGCUCUCUCACAUCCUAUGCUAAUGUUGAACAGAUUUGAGCAAGGAUAGAAACAAAUGAUUUCAAGACAGCCAGCCACAGUAAAAGGAAAUCAAAUCAGGCAGCUUAAAUCAGCAGCAGUUGGAGAUUGCACCCCUGUCCUGUCAACCUGAAGGAGAAGAGAGGAAGCCCAUCAGCACACAGGGAAGAUUUCUGUCUUCAGAUUCUCCUCUCCACCCCUGGACAGCCUCUCCAGAAUGAAAUACUCUGGGAUUCACAGGAAAGAGCCAGUAAGGAUCAAAAUGAUGUGUCAUUCUCUUAAAAAGGAAGAAAAAAAAAACUGUGAAAAAAAAAAAAGGUCACAAGAAUCAAGAUAGAAAAGCUGUUUUCCACAGAAUUCCACUGAGCAGUAUCAGCCCAUCUUCAGGGUCUUCAGAAGACUGGAAAGUUUUCCUUGAGCAGAGCAUGUCAUGGAGGUGAAUGGAGGAGCACAGACAAAUCACAUGUUCUUCUGUUGGACAGGUCAGACCUACCAGGUCUGAAGAUGCAAGAACCAAGGCAUAGCUUAGAGUAGCCCUAAAGCUUCUUUAAGUUGUGCUUGGGAAACAGUUGCCUUUACGUGGCUGUUGGGGUGGAAGGAACAUAAGCAUGUUUAGUUCAUACCAUCUCUUCUGUAAUUACCUGAGGCAUGCUAUUGUCACACACAAUCAAUCAUCUGACUUCUUAAGUAUCAUUCUUACUUUAAUAAAAUUUCAAAAUAUAAGCCUCA